CAAUAGCGUAUAUUAAAGUUGUUGCAGUUAAAAAGCUCGUAGUUGGAUUUCGGGGCAGCCUGGCUGGUCCGCCGCAAGGCGAGUACUGGUCAGCCGCCCUUCCUCUCGAAAGCCCCGACUGCUCUUCGUUGCAGUGGUCGGGUAGUUCGGGACGUUUACUUUGAAAAAAUUAGAGUGUUUAAGGCAGGCCUACGCCUGAAUACAUUAGCAUGGAAUAAUGGAAGAGGACCUCGGUCCUAUUUUGUUGGUUUCCAGGGCCGAAGUAAUGAUUAAGAGGGACAGUUGGGGGCAUUCGUAUUUAAUUGUCAGAGGUGAAAUUCUCGGAUUUAUGAAAGACGAACAACUGCGAAAGCAUUUGCCAAGGAUGUUUUCAUUAA
rnacentral:rRNA from 1 species